UGUGGCAGCACCCAGGGUGUUGUAUCAUUUUCGUUUAAUCCAAGUAAUGCGUAAGUUGAUGUAGUAGCUAUUUGGAUAAUCUGACGCUCUUAUUAAUUGCCAAGGAAAAUUAACAGGAGUACUGUUGUCCGUUUCCCUUUUGAGAAUAGUAGCACUUUCCCUUCAGGCUACUCUUCAUUUUCAUUGAAUCGAAAACGGCAAGUUAAUCAGAGCAAACAACAGACCAAUACUCAUCAGCAUCAUACCACAAAACAACCAACUCCACUAACAAUUGAGUCAAGCCAAGUUAAUCUAAAUGCAAAGGCUAAUAAACCUCAAAACACAACAACAGUCCUAAUGUGCAAUCUCCCAUUAAGAAAGGUUCUCAGAUGCAUACUACUAAGCCAAAACACCAAAGUAGUUCUGAUAUCGCCUCUACUUCUGUUGUUCCAAAAAUCCCAAAGACAACACAAAUUAGCCAGAUAGAAAAUACACACUGAAACCCACUUCUCAAGAGCCUCGAGAUCCUCAUUCUCCUGACAAUCCAACCUCUGAAUCUCAUCCACCAGCUAACAAUCCUAUUAACCAUCCUUCAGAGAGUAGUGAUGAAUUAGAGCUUAAUAUUAUAAAUAAUCCUAUUAACCAUCCCUCAGAGAGUAGUGAUGAAUUAGAGCUUAAUAUUGUAAAUGAUGUAGAUUCCGAAUUUGAAAGGGAAAUUCAGAAAUUGCUGAAAAUGAUCAAGUUGUUAGUGAUUCUGAGAAUGACUUUGAAAGUAUUGAAGAUUAAUCUAAAGUGAGGAAACUCUUGAUGCUCAAUCAGCUACCAACGAUGAUCAUGUUAACAGAUGCUUAAUCAGCUACCAGCGAUGAUCAUGCUAACAGAUUGUUAGAAGUUUUUUCACAUCAAUCACCACCACCAGAUGAAAUUGUUCAAGCCUUUGGAGAUGUAACCGACAGACACCACCUCUCACCUAGGGGGCAUGAGGUAACCAAAGGUGGACUCUAAUUAACCAGAGGUGGACACACCUUUAGGGAGGGCAGAGGUAAUAGAAGAGGCAAAGGCAUUCCUCUUAUGAAAUUUUCACAGGACAAUGAUGAUCAAUCUACAUCUUUUUAAUGAUUAAGUCUUCUUAUUUGGAAUAUUAGAGGCAUCAUUUAACAAGGUGCCUUUGACAGAUUUAAGCAACUCAAAAGAACUCCCAACCUUUUAUUCAUUGCUAUCAUGGAACCUUUCAGCGGAAGAAAAAAGUUAGAGAAAUUUAGGAGAGAACUUGGGUUUGAUUUUGCAUAUGUCAAUUGCAACAAUAAAAUCUGGUUCUUUGGUAAUAGCUCUAUCAACUGUAUUGUUAUUGAAUACUUUACUCAACUUAUCAAUUGCUCAAUUGAUAAUAAUGGGGAGACUUUAUAUAUGACUUAAGUGUAUGCUAAAUGCGAAGCUCAUCUCAGGGAGCUUCUAUGGGAUAACAUCAAAUCUUUUUCUAAUGGAGUUAGCUCUCCAUGGAUGGUGAUUGGGGAUUUUAACGCUAUUACUGAUCCUCAGGAGAAAAAAGGGGGAAAAAUCCACAAUAUGUCUAAAAGCUUGCCCUUCAUCAACUGCAUUGUGGAUAGUGGCCUUUUGGAUCUUGGUUACACUGGCAGUCCUUUUACCUGGUGUAAUGGCUGGGCACCUAUUAAGAGGAUAUGGGCAAGAUUGGAUAGAACUCUUGUUAACUCGGAAUGUUUACAGAAUUUUGCAGAUACCUCUAUCACACACUUAGUCAGAACUGGCUCUGAUCAUGCUCCUUGCUUGUCUCCACUUCCAAUCCAUAAUUGGAUCCUAAAAGUAUUUCAGAUUCUUAGAUCUUUGGACUGAACAAGAGAGUUUUAUGCAAGUGGUGGAACAAGCCUGACAACUACAAGUAGAAGGAGGCCCUAUGUAGAGAUUUCAUCUCAAGCUAAAAAAUAUCUGUAAGAGUCUUUCCUUUUGGUCCAAGAAUUCUAUUGGGAAUAUUUUUGAUAAGACCAAAGAAUUGCAGAAUAUGCUUGAGGUAUUAGAGGAAAGAUGUCUAUAUGACAAUUCUGACAGUAAUAGGAUGAAAUACAAUAAUAUGAAUGCACAGUUGAUUAGACACAUAAAAAAUAAAAAUUUAUUUUGGAGACAAAAAGCUGGUUUGAAGUGGUUUACAGAUGGUGACAAUAACGCUAGGUUCUUUCACUCUGUAAUUAAUUCCAGAAGGAAAAAAAUACAACUUACAAGAAUCAAGAAGCAAGAUGGUACCUGGAUUGAGAACAAAGAUGAUAUAGCUACUAAAGCUAUUAACUUUUUUGAGCAGCAGUUCACACAAGAAAAUACUUGCAGAGAUUUUUCAAAGCUCAGGGGUCUAACAGAGUAAUAAAUGAAGAAGAUAACUUGAUUUUAGAGGCACUCCCUACCAUGGAUGAACUGAAACAGGUAGUAUUCUCCAUGGAUAGUAGUAGCUCGCUUGGCCCCGAUGGCAUUUCUGGAAAAUUCUUUCAACACUACUGGAAUAUAAUUUAUGUUGAUCUCUAUUAGGUGAUUUUGAAAUUCUUCUCUGGGCAACCACUUUCUAGAUCAUUCACUCAUACAUACCUUGUCCUUAUCCCUAAAAUUGAUAACCCGCAGCAAUUCACUGAUUUCAGACCUAUUAGUCUAAGCAGCUUCUCUUCCAAAAUUAUCUCAAAGUUGCUUAACAGUAGGCUAGACCCUCUUAUGGACGGGAUUAUUUCUCCAAACCAAAUUGGUUUCCUUAAAGGUAAGUCAAUCUCAGAUAAUGUCUUGCUUACUCGAGAAUUUAUUCAUAACUUGAAUAGGCCCAAUGUCAAUGGUAAUGUAGUUUUUAAGCUAGACAUGGCAAAGGCCUUUGACAGAGUUCCUUGGGACUGCCUCUGUCAAACCAUGAGGCAAUUAGGCUUUUCUGAAUGUUGUAUUGAUAUGGUUGCAAGAUUGAUCUCAAACAAUUGGUACUCCAUCAAUGUCAAUGGAGUGAGACAUGGGUUUUCAAAUCUUCUAGGGGCCUUAAGCAAAGACACCUACUAUCCCUCUCACUUAUUGUCAUUGGGGCAGAAUUGUUAUCUUACAUGAUGGACCAACUGUGACUUGUUAUCUAUUGCCAUGAUGAUGAAAAAGUUGGAGAACUAUCAACAAGCCUCAAGACAAAUAGUGAAUAAAAGAAAAUCUACAUUCCUGGUAUCUUCUAACUCCUUCAACUGUAAUUGAAGACAUCAAAAGCAUUACUGGUUUUUCACAUUUCAA